AACAACGGAGAGUUUGAUCCUGGCUCAGGAUGAACGCUAGCGACAGGCCUAACACAUGCAAGUCGAGGGGCAUCGGGGGUGGAAGCUUGCUUCCGCCUGCCGGCGACCGGCGCACGGGUGAGUAACGCGUAUGCAACCUGCCCGGACCAGCGGGAUAACCCGGGGAAACCCGGCCUAAUACCGCACGGCGCCGCCAAGGGGCAUCCCUUGGCGGCUAAAGAACCAUCGGGUCCGGAUGGGCAUGCGUGGCAUUAGCUUGUUGGCGGGGUAACGGCCCACCAAGGCGACGAUGCCUAGGGGUUCUGAGAGGAAGGUCCCCCACACUGGUACUGAGACACGGACCAGACUCCUACGGGAGGCAGCAGUGAGGAAUAUUGGUCAAUGGGCGAGAGCCUGAACCAGCCAAGUCGCGUGAGGGACGACGGCCCUACGGGUUGUAAACCUCUUUUGCCGGGGGACAAACGGCGGCACGCGUGCCGUCCUGAGGGUACCCGGAGAAAAAGCAUCGGCUAACUCCGUG
rnacentral:rRNA from 1 species